ensembl:lncRNA
AUGAACAAGCUGCUAAAUGCAGAGGUGCUUUUCACACUGACAGCCAUUUGCAGUGACAAAGCAUCUGGAAGUCAUUCAUUUUCAAUGAGAGCUGGAGAUCUGAGGAGGCCAGAAACACAGAUUGAUGGCAAUGCAAUUAAGGAAGGAAGAUUCAUUGUGGAUUAGGACUCUGUAAAUGGAGGCUGUUUCUCAUUAUACCACACACAGUUCAUUCAUGAGCACAUGCUCCAGCACUCAGUGAAACAUCAUCACGUCACGCUAACGGCCUUCAGUAAAACUUCACAACUGCUGUUUUAUCAGGAUUUGCUGGACUUGAGAAGUUGGCGGAGGGUGUUUCAGGCCUCAGACAAACUUGAUGCAGUUACAGACCUGCACUAGUGACUGAUGAGGAGCUCAGUGCUUUACAAUUAGUGGUUAAUGGGUCUUAUUUUAGAAGAUUUGUUAUAUGAAUGUGCCACAUUUAUGACUGUCGAGCUUCAUUGUGAUAAGGGACAAGAGUGUAAGUUAGAGAUGCGUGGAUGGAAAACACCUUUUCUGUUUCAGAGGGUAGAACAAAAACUCGAAAAGAAACAUUCAGUUUGAGUGAUGACUGCCAAAGCCUUGUCUAAUGGGUUAUUUAGAUGUUAUGUAAUCUGAAAAUGUGUGGUUUGAAGUGAGAUUUGAAAGCUAUGUGGUUACAGUAUGUGUUGCCGUAUGAUGAAAUAAAAAUUAAAAAUGUAAUUAAAUAAAUUUAAUAUAAAAUAUAAAACACUUUUUAUUUCAGCUAGUUGGCAAAGCAACAUUUCUUUGUUUUAAUUUAUUUGAUGUUAAUCUAUUUAAAAAUAAUUAAGGUUUGAAAGCUAUAUGGUUGCUUAUGUGUUGCUAUAGUAUAUAAUGUUUGUUUACAUUAUUGUAGUUAACUGAAACUAAAACGAUAUAGUCAAGUCACCUUUAUUUAUAUAGUGCUAAUAUAAUACAAAACAGAUUGUGUCAAAGCAACUGAACAACAUUAAUUAGGAAAACAGUGUGUCAAUAAUGCAAAAUGACAGUUAAAGCAGUUCAUCAUUGAAUUCAGUGAUGUCAUCAUGCAGCUCAGUUCAGUGCAAUAAUUUGCAAUCAAGUCAACGAUAUCGCUGUAAAUGAAGUGUCCCCAACUAAGCAAGCCAGAGGCGACAGCGGCAAGGAACCAAAACUCCAUCGGUGACAGAAUGGAGAAAAAACCUUGGGAGAAACCAGGCUCAGUUGGGGGGCCAGUUCUCCUCUGACCAGACGAAACCAGCAGUUCAAUUCCAGGCUGCAGCAAAGUCAGAUUGUGCAGAGAACUCAACUGGUUCCUGUGGUCUUUUCCCGGUGGUCGUUUGAGACAAGGUCUUUACAGGGGAUCUGUCUCUGGUGCUCUAGUUGUCCUGGUCUCAGCUGUCUUUCAGGGCUGUAGAGGUCCUUUCUAGGUGCUGAUCCACCAUCUGGUCUGGAUACAUACUGGAUCCGGGUGACUGCAGUGACCCUCUGAUCUGGAUACAGACUGGAUCUGGUGGCUACAGUGACCUCGGAAUAAGAGAGAAACAGACUAAUAUUAGCGUAGAUGCCAUUCUUCUAACGAUGUACAGUAGCAAGUACAUCAGGUGUUAUGGGAAGUGUUCCCAGUUCCGGUUUUCCUAAUUAAUGCAGCCUUAAAAUCCUUUAACCGAUUUGGAUAUUAGAAGCGUAUAAGUGUGUUAUGUGUAAGCCAGGUUAAAGAGAUAGGUCUUUAAUCUAGAUUUAAACUGUAAGAGUGUGUCUGCCUCCCGAACAAUAUUCGGUAGGUCAUUCCAGAGUUUAGGCGCUAAAUAGAAAAAGGAUCUGCCGCCCGCAGUUGAUUUUGAUAUUCUAGGUAUUGUAUAAAAAAAAAACAUUACUUGUAAUAGAAUAAAUGUUAACUAAAUUUAAAUACAAAUAUAAAUAAAUAAAAUGAAAUAAUACAAUAAAAAUGAAAUACAGUAAAAUAAAAUAAAAAUAAAAAUAAUAUAAAACCUUUUUUCAGCUAAUUGACAAAGCAAAAUUUGAACAACUGAAAUACAAUAAAAAAAUAGAUAUUUAAAUUAAAUUGAAAUAAAAUAAAGUAAAAUAAGAAAUAAAAUAUACUGUUUUCCGCUAGUUGCCAAAGUAACAUUUGAACAAUUGAAAUACAACAAAAUAAAAUGAAAAAAUAAAUUGACAUAGAAAUAAAAUAAAAUGGAAGGGUAAAAUAAAAUAAAACUAAAUUAAUAUUAAUAAUAAUAAUAAUAAUAAUAAUAAUAAUAAUAAUAAUAAUAAUAAUAAUAAUAAUAAUAAACAAAAACAAUAAAUGCUUUUUCAGCUUGUUAACAUGAGGUAAUAAAGUAACCUAAGCUAAAAAAAAAAUUAUAAAAGCUAUAUAGAUGUAUUAAAAAAAAAAUAGAAAAUAAAAAACACAGGAAAAAUACUUUAACUGUAUUAAAAUGAAAAUAAAUAGCAACUAGUGUCUCGAUGAUAAUAAAAUAACACUGGUUCACACAUGAACUGUUUGACAGCUGGUUUGAAUUCAUGAAGUUUCAGUCAAUGAGCAUCUACAGGAUUAUCUGAGGAUUUCUGUAGGUAAUUCGUCUUGUAGGUAAAUAGAAUUGACCCAAAUAUUUGUUAUUGAGGUCACGAUUAAACACUAAUCAC